UACGUAGGGUGGCAAGCGUUGUCCGGAAUUAUUGGGCGUAAAGAGCUCGUAGGCGGUUCGGCAAGUCAGCUGUGAAAUCUCCACGCUCAACGUGGAGGGGUCAGCUGAUACUGCUGUGACUCGAGUCCGGUAGGGGAGUGUGGAAUUCCCGGUGUAGCGGUGAAAUGCGCAGAUAUCGGGAGGAAGGCCGGUGGCGAAGGCGGCGCUCUGGAACAUUUCUGACGCUGAGGCUCGAAAGCGUGGGGAGCAAACAGG
rnacentral:rRNA from 1 species